CUAAGAAUAUUCCGCAAUGGACGGAAGUCUGACGGAGCGACGCCGCGUGGAUGACGAAGGCCGAAAGGUUGUAAAGUUCUUUUGCUGGGGAAGAAUAACCGCAGGAGGGAAUGCCUGUGGGAUGACAAGAACCGGCGAAUAAGCCCCGGCCAACUACGUGCCAGCAGCCGCGGUAACACGUAGGGGGGCGAGCGUUGUUCGGAAUUACUGGGCGUAAAGGGCAUGUAGGCGGCUUGGAAAGCCUGGCGUGAAAGUCUGCAGCUUAACUGCAGGGGUGCGCUGGGAACUGCUGAGCUUGAGUGACGGAGAGGGAGCUGGAAUUCCUGGUGUAGGGGUGAAAUCUGUAGAUAUCAGGAAGAACACCGAUGGCGAAGGCAAGCCCCUGGCCGAUGACUGACGCUGAGGUGCGAAAGUGUGGGGAUCAAACAGGAUUAGAUACCCUGGUAGUCCACACAGUCAACGAUGUGCACUAGGUGCUGGGGCGGUAGCUUCGGUGCCGGAGCGAACGUGGUAAGUGCACCGCCUGGGGGAGUAUGCUCGCAAGGGUGAAACUUAAAUGAAUUGACGGGGUCAUAGCUGUUUCCU
rnacentral:rRNA from 1 species